rnacentral:rRNA from 1 species
GAUGAACGCUAGCGGCAGGCCUAACACAUGCAAGUCGAGGGGUAGAAUUAGCUUGCUAAUUGAGACCGGCGCACGGGUGCGUAACGCGUAUGCAAUCUACCUUGGUACAGGGGGAUAGCCCAGAGAAAUUUGGAUUAAUACCCCAUGGUAUAAUUAAUUGCAUGAAUUGAUUAUUAAAGUUCCAACGGUACAAGAUGAGCAUGCGUCCCAUUAGCUAGUUGGUGUGGUAACGGCAUACCAAGGCGACGAUGGGUAGGGGUCCUGAGAGGGAGAUCCCCCACACUGGUACUGAGACACGGACCAGACUCCUACGGGAGGCAGCAGUGAGGAAUUUUGGACAAUGGGCGAAAGCCUGAUCCAGCCAUGCCGCGUGAGUGAAGAAGGCCUUCGGGUUGUAAAGCUCUUUCAGGUGGAAAGAAAACGCAUAGGUUAAUACCUUGUGCGGAUGACGGUACCAUCAGAAGAAGCACCGGCUAACUACGUG